rnacentral:rRNA from 1 species
CAGUAGCCGCGGUAAUACGAGGGGGGCAAGCGUUGUUCGGAAUUAUUGGGCGUAAAGGGCGCGUAGGCGGUUUGGCAAGUUUGGUGUGAAAUCUUCGGGCUCAACUCGAAGUCUGCAUCGAAAACUGCUGGGCUUGAGUAUGGGAGAGGUGAGUGGAAUUUCCGGUGUAGCGGUGAAAUGCGUAGAUAUCGGAAGGAACACCUGUGGCGAAAGCGGCUCACUGGACCAUUACUGACGCUGAGGCGCGAAAGCUAGGGGAGCAAACAGGAUUAGAUACCCCCGUAGUCCCUGUCUCUUAUAC